AAGUGCGAAUGCUGACAUAAGUAACGAUAAAACGGGUGAAAAACCCGUUCGCCGGAAGACCAAGGGUUCCUGUCCAACGUUAAUCGGGGCAGGGUGAGUCGGCUCCUAAGGCGAGGCUGAAAAGCGUAGUCGAUGGGAAACAGGUUAAUAUUCCUGUACUUGGUAAAGCUGCGAUGUGGGGACGGAGUAGGUUAGGUUAUCGCACUGUUGGAUAUGUGCGUUUAAGUUGGUAGGUGGGAAGUUUAGGCAAAUCCGGACUUCCUUAACACAGAGAGAUGAUGACGAGGCUCUACGGAGCUGAAGUAACUGAUACCACACUUCCAGGAAAAGCCACUAAGCGAAAGGCUUUACUAAACCGUACUGAAAACCGACACAGGUGGUCAGGUAGAGAAUACUCAGGCGCUUGAGAGAACUCGGGUGAAGGAACUAGGCAAAAUAGCACCGUAACUUCGGGAGAAGGUGCGCCGGCGUAGAUUGUAGUCCCUAGCGGGCGAAGGUUGAACCGGUCGAAGAUACCAGCUGGCUGCAACUGUUUAUUAAAAACACAGCACUCUGCAAACACGAAAGUGGACGUAUAGGGUGUGAUGCCUGCCCGGUGCUGGAAGGUUAAUUGAUGGUGUCAUCGCAAGAGAAGCACCUGAUCGAAGCCCCAGUAAACGGCGGCCGUAACUAUAACGGUCCUAAGGUAGCGAAAUUCCUUGUCGGGUAAGUUCCGACCUGCACGAAUGGCAUAAUGAUGGCCAGGCUGUCUCCACCCGAGACUCAGUGAAAUUGAAAUCGCCGUGAAGAUGCGGUGUACCCGCGGCUAGACGGAAAGACCCCGUGAACCUUUACUAUAGCUUGACACUGAACAUUGAAUUUUGAUGUGUAGGAUAGGUGGGAGCCUUUGAAGCAGUGACGCCAGUCAUUGUGGAGGCGACCUUGAAAUACCACCCUUUAACGUUUGAUGUUCUAACGAAGAUGACGAAACGUGGUCUCGGACAGUGUCUGGUGGGUAGUUUGACUGGGGCGGUCUCCUCCCAAAGCGUAACGGAGGAGCACGAAGGUUUGCUAAUCACGGUCGGACAUCGUGAGGUUAGUGCAAUGGUAUAAGCAAGCUUAACUGCGAGACAGACAAGUCGAGCAGGUACGAAAGUAGGUCAUAGUGAUCCGGUGGUUCUGAAUGGAAGGGCCAUCGCUCAACGGAUAAAAGGUACUCCGGGGAUAACAGGCUGAUACCGCCCAAGAGUUCAUAUCGACGGCGGUGUUUGGCACCUCGAUGUCGGCUCAUCACAUCCUGGGGCUGAAGUAGGUCCCAAGGGUAUGGCUGUUCGCCAUUUAAAGUGGUACGCGAGCUGGGUUUAGAACGUCGUGAGACAGUUCGGUCCCUAUCUGCCGUGGGCGUUGGAUGAUUGAUUGGGGCUGCUCCUAGUACGAGAGGACCGGAGUGGACGCAUCACUGGUGUUCCAGUUGUCUCGCCAGAGGCAUUGCUGGGUAGCUAAAUGCGGAAGAGAUAAGUGCUGAAAGCAUCUAAGCACGAAACUUGCCAAGAGAUGAGUCAUCCCUGACUUUAAGUCAGUAAGGGUUGUUGU
rnacentral:rRNA from 1 species